rnacentral:rRNA from 1 species
CGGGUGGUAAACUCCAUCUAAGGCUAAAUAUGACCACGAGACCGAUAGCGAACAAGUACCGUGAGGGAAAGUUGAAAAGCACUUUGAAGAGAGAGUUCAAGAGUACGUGAAACCGUUCAGGGGUAAACCUGAGAAGCCCGAAAGGUCGAAAGGGGAAAUUCAUUCGCGUUUCGGCCGUCGGCGUGGGACGGUCGAGUGACGGACGUCGCACGCGGCGUCCGCGCCUUUCGUCUUUCGAACCGGCGUCGAACGCGUGCACUUUUCCCCUAGUAGGACGUCGCGAUCCGUUGGGUGUCGGUCUACGACCCGCGGUGGAGCCCGUGCGGACGCCUCCCGGCGUAUCGCUCGGACCCGCGGUGUUCCGGCCGACCCGCUCGACGGUAUACAGAUGGCGCGGGGCCGCUACACAAACAGUUAGCGUUCGGCCCGCGGCAAGCGCGUUCGGCGUUUGACGGCGAUCGGACCCGGUGCCGGUCCUGUCCCCGAACGACUGUUGGCCGCGGUGCUCUCGAACAGACCUCGUCUCGAAACGCCGAUCUGCGACGCUAUAGCUU